rnacentral:lncRNA from 1 species
UGAUGAAAAAUGUGAUAAAAGAAAACAUAAAAAAAAACAUAAAAAUAUAUCAGAUAAUGUAUUGAACAAAACGCAGGAAAAGAAAAAAAAUAUCAAUACAAAUAAACAGAAAUUGUUAAAAACGGAAGAAACUAAUAAAAACAUAAAUAAAGAUUCCGUUAUUGAAAAAUAUGAUCAAAAUACAAAAAACGACCACAUAAACGACCAUAUAAAUAAAGAACCCACAUUCGGUGACGAAAAAGAAUUUAACAAUUUUAAAAAAAAUUUAAGUGAAGAAGAAAAAACGAAAUCCAAUUUAAAACAAAAUAAUAAAAACGUACCUAAUGAGGAAAAAACAAAUUGUACUAACAAAAACGGUGCAACCAUGACUUGUGCAAAUCAUCCAAAAGAACAAUUACUUACUGACAAUAAUAACUAUUUGUUUAUAAACAUUGUUGAAUAUAUAAGUAAAAUUUUACAUGAACUAUUAUUUUUGCAUACAAUUGAUCUAACACAAAUGUUUUUUUAUUUAAAAAUAUUUAAAUAUGAUCGAUUAUAUACAAACGAAAAAAAAAAACUGUGACAAUCUUAUUGAUAAAAUAAAGUAUAAAUUAAAUAUAGAUAAUAGUAAUAGUACUAAUACUAGCACACAAAAACAAAUGAAUGACAUAAUAGACAAAGAAAUUAAGCAUAAACAAGUGGAAUAUAAAAAAACGGACAGUAUUGAUUAUUAUAUAAACAACAACCACCCCCAAAAAAACAACACUAGAGAAAUAUCAUUUACCAAUUUUUUAAGUUAUCCAUUAAUUUUACCAAACAACUCUGUUAAUCCAGAAGAAGAUUUUUAUUUAUAUAAGUAUACUACAGAAAAAAAAACAAGUCGAACUUUAUUUGAAAAUUUAUGUUAUAAAGAUGCUGAUGAAAUACAGUUACUUGCUGCUACAGUUGAUACAAUUUUAUCUUUAAUAAAUACUUAUUAUGUUAUAUUUUUAAAUAUAUUAAAAAAUUCAUGUAAUCAGUAUUGCUUUGCAACUAUUGAUCUUUAUGAUGACCGAAAUAUAAAAUGUGUUCAAUUAGCAAAACAGUAUAGUGAUAAUACGAUAGCACAACAAAAUGCUGCACAACAAUAUCAUACACAACAAUAUCCUACACAACAAUAUCCUACACAACAAUAUCCUACACAACAAUAUCCUACAAACCUAGAACUUAUAAAACAACAUGACUAUAAUAACGUACCAAUAAACAGUGUUAUACAUAACGACGCUAAUAAUAAAAAUGAUUCAAUUUUUGAAUGUGAGCUUAAUAACCGAAUUAAAAAAUAUAAUGAUAACAAUACUAUUAAUGAAAUAGCUGUUAAAUAUGAUACAAAAGUUUACAGUAGUAUUGGGAGUAGAAACAGUAAUUAUAAUACGAAUGAGAAUAUUAAUAAGUAUGAAAAUAAUGAUAGUAUAUAUUCUAAUAAUUAUAAUAAUUGCGAAUUCUUAAACAAUUAUAAUGAUAAAAACAUGCGUUUAUUUUUUUCUGUGUUUAAUUCGACUUGUAGAUAUUUUAUAUCAUCAUUAUGUUUAAUGUUUUCUUAUGCAAACACAUUAGAUACAUGUUUUUUUAACGCUUGUCAGAAAUUAAU